rnacentral:rRNA from 1 species
UACGUAGGCAGCAAGCGUUGUUCGGAAUUACUGGGCGUAAAGAGUGUGUAGGCGGUGCUCUAAGUUCGGUGUGAAAUCUCCCGGCUCAACUGGGAGGGUGCGCCGAAAACUGGAGUGCUGGAGCGCGGGAGAGGAAAGCGGAAUUCCUGGUGUAGCGGUGAAAUGCGUAGAGAUGUGGAGGAACACCAGUGGCGAAGGCGGCUUUCUGGUCUGUAACUGACGCUGAGGCGCGAAAGCGUGGGGAGCAAACAGG